rnacentral:lncRNA from 10 species
GCGCCUUCUCGGCCUCAGAGUCCAAUGGCUCUGGACGCGCUUGAGGAGCCCUUCAACCCGCUGCUGCGCUGUGGGGGCCCCUCUCUGGGGCUGGCCGAGGCAGGAGCCGGCUCCCUCUGCUCACGGGGAGGUGUGGAGGGAGAGGAACGUCUGGGAGCCAGGGCCGCAAGCGGCACUCAGGGGCCUGCGCGGGUUCGGGUGGGCCGGGCUCAGAAGGCCCCGCGCUCAGCGCAGCCAGCCGGUGCCUGCUGGGCUUGAUCAGGAGAUGAGUUCCCUCUGGGCUGCCAGAGUGCCUGGGCUAGGUGCUGCAAAGUCCUAUAGCGACUGCCAUUGAGAAGUGAAGCCGGCUAGGCUUCUGGGUCAGGUGAGGACCUGAAGAACGUUUCUGUCUAGCUGAAGGUUUGUAAACGCACCAAUCAGUGCUUUGUCAAAACGGACCCAUCAGCUCUCUGUAAAACGGACCAAUCAGCUCUCUGUAAAAUGGACCAAUCAGCUCUCUAUAAAAUGGACCAAGCAGUAGGAUGUGGGUGGGGCCAGAUAAGGGAACGAAAGCAGGCCUCCCAAGCCAGGAGCGGCAAACUGCUGGGAUCCAUUUCCAUGCUGUGGACUCUUUGUGCUUUGCUCUUUGCAGUAAAUCUUGCUGCUGCUCACUUUUUGGGUCUGCACCACCUUUAUGAGCUGUAACACUCACCGCGAAGGUCUGCAGCUUUACACCUGAAGCCAGGGAGACCACGAACUCAUCAGGAGGAACGAACAACUCCAGACGCGCGGCCUUUAAGAGCUGUAACACUCAACGCGAAGGUCUGCAGCUUCACUCUUGAAGUCAGCGAAACCGCAAACCCACCAGAAGGAAGAAACUCCGGACACAUCUGAACACCUGAAGGAACAAACCCCGGACACACCAUCUCUAAGAACUGUAACACUCACCGCCAGGGUCCGCGGCUUCAUUCUUGAAUCAGUGAGACCAAGAACCCACCAAUUCCAGACACAGAAGUAGAUGAUCCUCAAUCAAUCACUUAAAGGCCUGAAUAGAACCAAAAGUCUGACCUGCCCAUGAGUAACAGAGAGCUCCUUCUGCCUGAUUGCUUCAGCUGAGAUAUCGGCCUUUCCCUGCCUUUGGAAUUGAACUGCAACACUGGCUCUUCUUGGGCCUCAAGACUGCCAGCUUUUGAACUGUAACCACACUAUCAUCUCUCCUGGUUCUCAGGCCUUUGGACUCAAAUCAGAAGCAUACCAGGGGCUCUCCUACAUCUCCAACUUGCUAACUGUGAUCUUGAGACUUCUUAGCCUCCAUAAUCACAUGAGUCAAUUGUUGGUUCUGCUUCUCUGGAGAACCCUAAUCCAUCACUCUACAUCUUUGUUCCAUUAUACAUAUUGCUUCCCAGCAUAUUAAAUAAUUUAUCGAUUAUAUUUUUGGUUUAUUAUUUAUUUCUCCUACUGGAAUGUAAGUUUCACAGAGCUCUUGUUCAUUGCUAGAUCUCAAGCCUGGCAUCUAGUAGGUAUUCAGCAAAUAGCUGUUGAAAGAUGAAAAAAUAAAUCUAAUCUGCCAAGUGGAGGUAGGUACUGCGAAGAAGAAUAAAACCAAAUAAAGGAACUUGAGGGGAACAACAGCACUUCUUUUUAUAGAAGGUAGUUAGGUCCUGGUGGGACAAUGGACAUUACUACUGGGAUAUAAUGUUUAUCUUCCAAACUAGGCUAUCUUUCUUAAUCCUGAGAUCCUUGCAGAUUCACAUGGAGUUAUAAGAAAUAAUACAGAGAAAUCUCAUGUAUCCUCUACCCAGUUUCCUUGAAUAGUACCA